rnacentral:rRNA from 1 species
UACGGAGGGGGCUAGCGUUUGUUCGGAAUUACUGGGCGUAAAGCGCACGUAGGCGGCUUUGUAAGUUAGAGGUGAAAGCCCGGAGCUCAACUCCGGAAUUGCCUUUAAGACUGCAUCGCUCGAAUCAUGGAGAGGUGAGUGGAAUUCCGAGUGUAGAGGUGAAAUUCGUAGAUAUUCGGAAGAACACCAGUGGCGAAGGCGACUCACUGGACAUGUAUUGACGCUGAGGUGCGAAAGCGUGGGGAGCAAACAGG